GUGGGGAAUCUUAGACAAUGGGGGAAACCCUGAUCUAGCCAUGCCGCGUGAGCGAUGAAGGCCUUCGGGUUGUAAAGUUCUUUAGCCGAUGAUUAUAAUGACUGUAGUCGGAAAAUAAGCCCCGGCUAACUUCGUGCCAGCAGCCGCGGUAAUACGAAGGGGGCGAGCGUUAUUCGGAAUCACUGGGCGUAAAGCGUGCGUAGGCGGUUUUGUAAGUUAGGAGUGAAAGCCCAGGGCUCAACCUUGGAAUUGCUCUUAAAACUGCAAGGCUCGAAUCUCGGAGAGGAUAGCGGAAUUUCCAGUGUAGCAGUGAAAUGCGUAGAUAUUGGAAGGAACACCAGUGGCGUAAGCGGCUAUCUGGACGAGUAUUGACGCUGAGGCACGAAAGCGUGGGGAUCAAACAGGAUUAGAUACCCGUGUAGUCC
rnacentral:rRNA from 1 species